rnacentral:lncRNA from 12 species
GGACCUGCGGGGCAGAGUGACGCGACCCCGAGACACCGCGCCCCCCUCCCGGAUUUACGCUCUCGGUGUCUCCUCCACCGCGACUGCGGCUCCCCGGUUGCACGUCUGCUUCCCACCCAGACUCUAAUUCUGACCUGGGCCCCCCUGGAGGCGCGCGGGCCACGGAGGAGCCGGAGGAGCCGGAGGAGCCGGAGGAGCCGAACCCGGCUGGGGAAGGCCUCUUAGCUCCUGCACCCUUUGAAAUGCCUGGCCUGCCGUCCCGGGGCUGCCCAGAAGUCAACGGUGCCAACUCCAUCCCCCUGGGGCUUGGGCGGGGUUUGCACCCCAUCCUCUCCCCCUGUUCGGUGCCCUGGGAGCCUGGCCAAUGACAACCUUUCUCACGGCCCUUGUGGAUUUCGGUGAAAAGAUCCCGGUUCUACUGGCAGCUUGGGGUGUUUUCUGUAACGGCAUCAAGUUCCAGAGCCAUUUAAAUCACCCCCCAACACCCCACACUGGACACCCAAAUACCUAAUCUCCGCUUUCCCCCAGGGAGUCGGGCAUUAAGCUUCUCAGUUGGUACCCAAUGCAAAUGCUCCUGUCCUGCCUCAUUGUCCAAGAGCAAGGGUGGUAAAUUUUGGAAGAAAGGAAACAGGGAGACCACCUUCCAAUUUCUGCAGGCCCUUCCUGAGAAGUUCCUGAGGCCCCCAAAUAGGAGUAAGAAGAGCCAACUGAGCUGCUCUGACCAGAGAAGGGCUCUGUUGUGUAUGAGGGGACCCCUCCUCAAGAGAGGACCCCGCUGCCCAGGAUGGCCCAGUCUAAAUGUGGUGCAGCGGGGAGCCCAACUCAAGACUGAUUCGAGUUGUCAAGCUUUUAGUGGCUUUGAUGCUGCCCUGAGACACGUCAGUCCAUCGCAUCCACAGAGGGUUGUGUCAUCACUUAAAGAUCAGAUGGUAUCCUUGUUGUGGCUUGGAAUCGCCGUUUGGCCAAUCACCAGGACGACGGCUCCUAAUCCUUAUCGCCCAUCACCACACACAGGGACAAGACAGGAGCCCAAUGUCACUUAGCUUCACGCUACCUUUCUCCAAGGUUGCGCCCUAUCUGGAAAGGAAGGGGCCAGAAGCUUCGUCACCACAAAGCAUGGCACGUCUGCUCAAAGCACGGCACUGGGGGAUCCCUGGGUGGCUCAGCGGUUUGGCGCCUGCCUUUGGCUCAGGGUGCGAUCCUGGAGUCCUGGGAUCAAGUGCCGUGUCAGGCUCCCGGCAUGGAGCCUGCUUCUCCCUCUGCCUGUGUCUCUGCCUCUCUCUCCCUCUCUCUGUCUCUCAUAAAUAAAUAAAUAAAUAAAUAAAUAAAUAAAUAAAUA